UACCUAGGGUUGAGAAGCAACGAUGCGACGCAAACUUGUUUGCAGGAGCAGCGGGGAUUCGAAACCCGUACCACAUGAGCAAGCAGCCAUUUUCGCAGAAAAUGAGCGGAUUGCGAAUGCGGCUGGAUUGCGAGAGUGCGAAGCACGGAGCAAUCCGAGAGG
rnacentral:sRNA from 1 species